rnacentral:rRNA from 1 species
GGGUUGUGAGGUUAAGCGACUAAGCGUACACGGUGGAUGCCCUGGCAGUCAGAGGCGAUGAAGGACGUGCUAAUCUGCGAUAAGCGUCGGUAAGGUGAUAUGAACCGUUAUAACCGGCGAUUUCCGAAUGGGGAAACCCAGUGUGAUUCGUCACACUAUCAUUAACUGAAUCCAUAGGUUAAUGAGGCGAACCGGGGGAACUGAAACAUCUAAGUACCCCGAGGAAAAGAAAUCAACCGAGAUUCCCCCAGUAGCGGCGAGCGAACGGGGAGGAGCCCAGAGCCUGAAUCAGUGUGUGUGUUAGUGGAAGCGUCUGGAAAGGCGCGCGAUACAGGGUGACAGCCCCGUACACAAAAAUGCACAUGCUGUGAGCUCGAUGAGUAGGGCGGGACACGUGGUAUCCUGUCUGAAUAUGGGGGGACCAUCCUCCAAGGCUAAAUACUCCUGACUGACCGAUAGUGAACCAGUACCGUGAGGGAAAGGCGAAAAGAACCCCGGCGAGGGGAGUGAAAAAGAACCUGAAACCGUGUACGUACAGGCAGUGGGAGCACGCUUAGGCGUGUGACUGCGUACCUUUUGUAUAAUGGGUCAGCGACUUAUAUUCUGUAGCAAGGUUAACCGAAUAGGGGAGCCGAAGGGAAACCGAGUCUUAACUGGGCGUUAAGUUGCAGGGUAUAGACCCGAAACCCGGUGAUCUAGCCAUGGGCAGGUUGAAGGUUGGGUAACACUAACUGGAGGACCGAACCGACUAAUGUUGAAAAAUUAGCGGAUGACUUGUGGCUGGGGGUGAAAGGCCAAUCAAACCGGGAGAUAGCUGGUUCUCCCCGAAAGCUAUUUAGGUAGCGCCUCGUGAAUUCAUCUCCGGGGGUAGAGCACUGUUUCGGCAAGGGGGUCAUCCCGACUUACCAACCCGAUGCAAACUGCGAAUACC